UUUUUUAAUUGGAAGCUGGAAUGAAAGGUAGUGAUAAUAAGGGAAAGUUUUAUUAUAUUAAAAUUGAAUUUUAAUUAAAAGUAAAAAUGCUUUUUUAGCUUUUAGGGACGAGAAGACCCUAAAAGCUUAGAAAUUAAAUAAUUUUUUAUUGGGGUAAUAAAAUGAAGAUGGAGAUUUUUGUAAAUUAGCAAUAUUAGAAAGUAAGUUACUUUAGGGUUAACAGCAUAAUUUAAUUUAAGAGUUCUUAUUAAUAAUUAAGAUUAUGACCUCGAUGUUGAAUUAAAAUUAAUUUUGGGUGAAGGAGUUCAAAAAAUUUAGUCUGUUCGACUAUUAAAAUUUUACGUGAUCUGAGU
rnacentral:rRNA from 1 species